rnacentral:rRNA from 1 species
GACAGAGGGUGCAAACGUUGUUCGGAAUUACUGGGCGUAAAGCGCGUGUAGGCGGUCAUGCAAGUCGGGUGUGAAAGCCCGGGGCUCAACCCCGGAAGUGCAUUCGAUACUGCGUGGCUAGAGUACUGGAGAGGAUGGUGGAACUCUCGGUGUAGAGGUGAAAUUCGUAGAUAUCGGGAGGAACACCAGUGGCGAAGGCGACUACCUGGCCUGUUCUUGACGCUGAGGCGCGAAAGCUAGGGGAGCGAACGGGG